GACAGAGGGUGCGAACGUUGCUCGGAAUUACUGGGCGUAAAGCGCGUGUAGGCGGCGCCGCACGUCGGGUGUGAAAGCCCGGGGCUCAACCCCGGAAGCGCGCACGAAACGACGGCGCUGGAGGCCUGGAGAGGAGGGCGGAAUUCCCGGUGUAGAGGUGAAAUUCGUAGAUAUCGGGAGGAACACCGGUGGCGAAGGCGGCUCUCUGGACAGGACCUGACGCUGAGACGCGAAAGCGUGGGUAGCAAACAGG
rnacentral:rRNA from 1 species